GGGCCAAGUCCCUAGGUACGCAAAUCUUUCACCGAAUGCUUGCAUUCAUCGAAAGAUUUGAGUGGCGAACGGGUGAGUAACACGUGGGUAACCUGCCCAGAAGAAGGGGAUAACACUUGGAAACAGGUGCUAAUACCGUAUAACAACAAAAACCGCCUGGUUUUUGUUUAAAAGAUGGUUCUGCUAUCACUUCUGGAUGGACCCGCGGCGUAUUAGCUAGUUGGUGAGGUAAUGGCUCACCAAGGCAAUGAUACGUAGCCGAACUGAGAGGUUGAUCGGCCACAUUGGGACUGAGACACGGCCCAAACUCCUACGGGAGGCAGCAGUAGGGAAUCUUCCACAAUGGACGAAAGUCUGAUGGAGCAACGCCGCGUGAGUGAAGAAGGUUUUCGGAUCGUAAAACUCUGUUGUUAGAGAAGAACGUGUGUGAGAGUAACUGUUCAUGCAGUGACGGUAUCUAACCAGAAAGCCACGGCUAACUACGUGCCAGCAGCCGCGGUAAUACGUAGGUGGCAAGCGUUGUCCGGAUUUAUUGGGCGUAAAGGGAACGCAGGCGGUUUUUUAAGUCUGAUGUGAAAGCCUUCGGCUUAACCGAAGUCGUGCAUUGGAAACUGGAAGACUUGAGUGCAGAAGAGGAGAGUGGAACUCCAUGUGUAGCGGUGAAAUGCGUAGAUAUAUGGAAGAACACCAGUGGCGAAAGCGGCUCUCUGGUCUGUAACUGACGCUGAGGUUCGAAAGCAUGGGUAGCAAACAGGAUUAGAUACCCUGGUAGUCCAUGCCGUAAACGAUGAAUGCUAAGUGUUGGAGGGUUUCCGCCCUUCAGUGCUGCAGCUAACGCAUUAAGCAUUCCGCCUGGGGAGUACGAUCGCAAGAUUGAAACUCAAAGGAAUUGACGGGGGCCCGCACAAGCGGUGGAGCAUGUGGUUUAAUUCGAAGCAACGCGAAGAACCUUACCAGGUCUUGACAUCUUCUGCCAAUCUAAGAGAUUAGAUGUUCCCUUCGGGGACAGAAUGACAGGUGGUGCAUGGUGUCGUCAGCUCGUGUCGUGAGAUGCUUCGUAG
rnacentral:rRNA from 1 species